rnacentral:lncRNA from 1 species
UUUGGCAACGUCUCCAAAACUCUCAGUCAAAUGGGAACAGCAAGGCCUGCCCAUCAACUGCUACAAACACAGGAACAAGCAAAACCCCUGGGGCAGAAGGCACCGAUCAGCCUUCCCCUCUCCUCACUCUCGGCCACCUCCUCCAGACCCCAACGCAGAGGGCUUCUCUCUGCCAGUUAAACCCGGAGCCAAGCAACAGGAGCUCCUCGGAUCACCUUCUUUCCAGCCUCGUCCUGGCUGCCAGGAGGCUCCGUUUCUCCUUCCUCCCGGGUUGCAGGCACCUCCUCCCGCCAGUGACUUCCACCAUGAUUGCUCUUCCCAUUCACGUCCCACGCGAUUACCUCACUCACUGAUCCUUCUUCAAUUUCCCCUCAGAUGCUCAAGUUCACACCCCACCAAAAUUCCCCCAAAUGCAUGAAGCUGCAGACAGGAGGAGCCCGCUAGCCCCCGAAGACCCUGCCGCGCCACCCACAUAGAAGAGACAUAGAAGAUCUCCCAGCUCUUCCUGGGAGCAAAGCUGUGCAACCCAGAGCCUCAAGCUGCCGCUUUGGCAGGAAAGCCAACUCCCGCGUGCUGAAGUCACUGAAUGCACACCAGAGAGAAACCCACUUCGCAGGAAGCAAAUGCUUUGUCUCAUUUACAUUUUUCGCAGGUGUUCUGGGAUGUGAAGGGGACGUGUCCAACGUCCAGGUCCUUCGUCACAGCCAUAAAGGAGGCCAUGCGUGGGACACGCCCUCAUUCCAGGCAAUGUGAGAGACGCCUUCACCUUGACCGUGUUGCUGCCUCUCGUUCCAACCGUGCUCAGAACCAGGAGCCGGCGGGGACGGAGCCACAGAGCAGCCGCUUCCCCGUGUCCGCGCCCCUGUACUGUCUUCACACUCGCCAUCACCUUGCACACCCUGCGGCACCACACGACCGCCACGGAGCCUGUGGGGCCCUCCUGUGUCUCAAACCCGAGCCCUUCCCCGGCGCCCACAUCCAGGUUGCCAACUAGGAGGAGGCAGGCCUGGGGCACUGGCAGGAGGACGGGUGGGCACAGGAAAACCUGCCUGAAGAUGAGGUCAUGAGGAAGGCAGCACAGAAGGAUGGGAGAAGAGGCCUUAAGACACAUAAUGUGAGCACCUGGAUCCAGCUGUGCCUGAAGCCCCUUGGACUUCCAGGUUAUGUAAGCCCAUUCCUUACAACCCUUUGCAUUUGUUUUCUGCCCCUUGCAAAUAAAAGACCAUGACCUUUCACGCUAUGAGCAGCUGAC